UGCAUUGUUUCUUCUUUUCUCUAUCAUCUCAGACAUUUGUGUUCUGCUUUUCUCAUCGAUAGCGAUGACCUUCCAGUUCCGUAACGGGGCGUUGUGAUUUCUACGCCUUUAAUCUUAGUGUCUUUAAUCUCAUUAAACCAGACGCCCACUAUGCUAGCUUCAGUUGCGUUGUUCAGUCGACGAUUUCAUGUAUAAAUAGGUUUGUAUCUCACUUCUCCGAAUGGUGGUGAAGAUUCUGCCGGCAGUCGAAAGCUCCUGGAAAGAUGUCUCCGGCGGAGGCUGCGGUUUCGCAAUGGCUACCUCAGUGUUAAUCAGAAUCCGGGAAGCUGAUCACAUGCGGCUCGACGGAUGAUCUAGGUCAGAUCUAUGUCACAUCAGGGAAGCACUGUGUAAGCUUUUCACUAACCUUUCUUCGUAUGAUUGUGUUCAGAACACAGUGUUCUAAUUUGAUAUUGUUCUAUGAUUAUGAGUUUUAGUCGAGUUACUCUUUCAUAGGAGACUCCCGAGCCGUUUCCUCUGCCUCCGGAGGUUUGUGUACAGAAAGCUGAAGCUGGAUGGGAUCAUUCUGUGGCGGUAACAGAGAGCCAUGAAGUUUAUACAUGGGGAUGGAAGGAAUGUAUACCCACUGGAAGAGUGUUUGGACAAGUGGAAGGAGAUUCGUGUGAAAUGAACACCUCCUUCUCUGCAGAGCAAGGUUAAUCUCUUUUGCAUGUUAAAAUAUCUCAUGUAAUGACUGGUCUUAUAUCUCAUGUUCCAAGUGCUUCCAGAAGUUUCAACGCAGGUUCUCAUCUUCCACCAGUGCAUCAUGUAAUGAUGUAACACUGUUGGGAUUGUAAGGUAGUCCAUGUUGAACACAUUUCCAUUCACUCUCUCUAAGUAAUUUAAAGCCAAUCUCAUUCCCAUACGUUAUAACAAGUUAUUGGGUGUGUGGGUAUUAAUGGUGAGAUGAACAAACUGACAAAGCCUUUCUACUGCUGCAGUUUCUCAAGCGAUGGUUGCAGAUACUAAUUCCCUUUGUACUUAAACCUAUUUGACAUAUAAGACGCAGGGAUGGCAAACCAAAUAACCUUAACCUUUCAUGCCAAGCUCUCUAAGUUCAGACUUUUCAUCAAACCAUAAAUCAUUCACCCUAGCCCUGAUAUUAGAUCAGAACCAACGCCAAUUCCUACUUUUGAUGGACAGGUAGGUAAUGACAACUCGGGCAAUGAUAUGCCAGGUUCUGGAGCUGUUAAAAAACUUACACCACUGAUGGUGUAAAGACAUAAAGUGUGAACAGUUGUGUCGCUCUGAACAUCGUUGGCAUCGGUACUAUUGCUAUUAUUACAUAGUAUAAGUGAGUGAAAACCAUGUAAUGGUUAAUCUUCAAGAGUAUAGGAGUUUUAAACACUGUUGUGGACUUUAGUUGAUGCUCUACUACCACUUUUUAAAAGAAUCCUCUAGACAAAAGUAUUUUACCUCUUUCGGUCAUGCUAAUUAUUGCUUCUGAUUCUUUUUCCUUCUCGAUUUUUUGUACACAGCAAGGCAACUACGUUUGUACGGCAACUACGUUUGCUCUUUUUUAGAAAUGGCCAUGGGAUCUCUGAUUUUCUACACAUAUAUAUCUGAUACUUCAGUGCUUAUAAGUGCUUUUAUUUUUUUUUUAAACUUUUGUACGUUGCCAGGCAAACUACGUGCUUUUCUUAAAAGUGUCAAUGUGAUUUCAGUUUUUCUACUCUCUUAUAUAUAUAUCGGUUCCUAUAAGUGCUACUGGAUAUUUUAAUAAUUUUCGUACACUGUAAGGCAACUACAUUUGCUCUUAUAAAUGCAAAUUAAACUUCAUCAGAAAUACCAUUAGUCAUUGAGUGGUUACGUAAGAAUAGACCCAAGCUUCAUAACACUGUCAAAAUUUCGUAACAAUUAAAUUAAAAACAUUUUCCUGGAUCAAGACCCAUCCAUCUCUUUCUCUAGCUAUGGUGAAAAAAAACUUGCUGAAAUAGGUGAAUAUGUAAGUGAUUAAUCAAAAAAGAAACACAUCAAAAUAGAAGAAACACAUCAAAAUAGAAACAACAAAUCUUUUGAUACAAAACAUAGAAGAAACACAUCAAAAUCGAAACAAAUGUAUUUUUUUGGAAAAGCUAUAGAAAUAGAAGCAGUUGUUAAACAUUAAAUUUAACCAAGAUAAAAUUUCCUUGCGUAGGUCAACCCCUAGGAUAAACAAAAAAAAUUGUGAAAUAUGACAACGACAAUAAUAGUAGAAAUCAAACUAAAUACUCAAAACAAAACAUAUCAAAAUAUUUACACCGACAAAAAAAAACAUCCCAUUAAAUUUUAACAUUAUAUUAUGAAAUUUAAUUAACCGUAACGAAAAAUCAAACAUCAAACAAUUUUAACCAUAACAGUCGAUAAACAUAAUAAGAAAAAUAAAAGAAACAACAUUUAAAAUGAUAUACAGUAAAAAAUUAAUAAUAAACAUAAAUUUAAAAAAAAUAUUAAUGUUUCAUAGUGUUUAGUAAUUUAAAAAUCUAUGUGUCUUAUUGAUAUCAUUAACCUAAAAUAAAAAUUAAGAGAAAUUAAAUAAUUCUGUUUUUAAUAAAUAUUAUAAUUAGACAAUCUUAUAAUUGCCAAUAUGAAUUUUGAAAUACAUGGAUAAGUUUUUUGAAAAAAAAAGAUUAUGAAUCCUAUUGGGAUUUUUGGUUAAAAGUAAAUAUAUAUUAUUAUUUUAUUAUUCGUCUGCCCGUAGGGCGGGUUUACCCUAGUCAACACAAUAAUACCACAGAGUUCUCUCCAGAACAUGACACAUCAGAUUUUAAAAUGCCUGAAGAACUGACAUGUCAUUAACUGAAAAAACUUGAAGAACCAAUCAACUUAUUUCGUUUCUACACGUCAUUUGUCUAUGGUUAUAUUUAUUUUUUUUGUUUUCUGAGCAAAAUACUUUACUUUCUUAUCCGUUAACCAUCGUCGAUGUUUUAGGUUAGUUCAAGAGAAAGAGAAGUGAUAGAGAGUUAAAACCAAGUCCUGGUCUGAGAUUCUUCUUCUAUUUCAUCUGUGUAUCGCGAAGCUCUAGCCCAUAUUCUUCUUCGUCUGUCUCUCAAAAAGGUUUUCAUUACGGUCUGCGACAAAGCCGAGUCUCAGAUGUGAUCUCGCGGCGUCUAUGGAUGGUGUUGAUUUGAUUAGGGUUCCAUGGCGUUAUGUCUUAAUAUGCUUUCAAACGAGUGCUAUGUGGGCUUAUAUCAAUCAAUAGAUAGAUUUUAGUUGAAAGUAUUUUGAUAAACUGAUUAUGUUGUUUCUUCUUUUUCAUUUGUCUACGGUUAUGGUUAUAUUUUUAAGAAAGUUUGGUCCUUGAUUUUGAUUUUAGGAUAUAAGUGUAUUGCUGGAAGUUGCUUUCAUCAUUGAUAAUCGGGAUCGAGUAUACCGUAGAGUGAAGAUUGAUACAUUCAUCAGUAUGACUGUUUUUAGCUAUCAGUACUUUACUUGGUGGAAGUAUAGCGAAGGAGUUGCAGAAUUAUAGGUGUUGCGAACUGCGAAGUACUUGCUGGAAGUAUAUUGCUGGUGCCCUGUACAAGACAGUAAUUACAAUGGCUCAUACAUUGAUCCUACACUACAACCUGAGAGCAUGUGUGUGAGAGUUAGCUCUUUCAUCUUUUGCCUGACAUCUCUAUGUAAUUCAUAAGCCUCUUUGGUCACUUUCCUAUCCUCAGUAACCUGAUAACUCAUAUUACAAAUUGUAUUAGUAAUUAAUAUGUACCAUUUGAAUGUAUGUAUUACAAGUUAGCUAAUUGCUGGAUUUUCUGAGUUAUUCAUCUUCAUACCGAUUGUUAGAUAGAUUACUGCACUCUUGUUAUUAAUAGUUGAUAUCUGCAGUUUAUUUUAGUGUUGUUGUGACCAUAGGUUUGCAGGAAGCAGCGGAUGACAACAGUGUUUACAGAAACGAGGUUCACCAUUCGCUGCACCAAGGCCGUGCGCUGCACCAAGUGUCAACACAGCGAAGCUGUCUUCUUCCAGGUCCUAUUACAAUCGCUGAUCAAAUGGCUGAAGAGGCCAUGGUAUCCAUUAUCUUCCACAACUCCCUACUCAUGGUAUUUGAGUUUCCAUCGAAUAAAGACACAUUGAUUGCUUCAGAAACGCGGAGGUUCUUUAUCUGCAAGCACCGGUAGGAACAUUAGCUAUCCAUUGUCUCCCAUGAACGGUGGAUACAUGCGAUAUGUAAUGUAAUAACAGGAAACAAACGGAUGGGAAGGUGAUCUGCAAGUGUAUUACACAUUAACUAUGGAGCUGGUGAUGUCUCUUCUGACCCUGACGUAACAAAGCAGUCAUUAUAUGCUUUAGCUCUUCUGGAAGAGCAGCCAGGUUGAUUGCCAUAAACAGUCAACAAUGCUCUUUUGUCAUACCCAUGGUCAAGAAAAUUCAUUUGAAAUGGAGCUUUAGUGGAGAUCAAUAAGGUGGGGAAAACUGGAGUAAGAGGUGAUAGAAUAAUGAAGGAAACAAAGAAAGAAGAAAACACUUGGGAGCCAUUUUGGGACGAGGAGUUUGAGUGUCAGCUUACAGUACCAGAGCUGGGGUUGCUCAGAGUUGAAGUUCACAACUACAACAUGCUAGCGAAGGACAAUUUCUCUGGCAGACAUGUUUGUCUGUGGCGAGCUUAGACAGGGUCUACGUUCUGUUCCUUUGUAUGAUCGCAAAGGUGAGAGACUUGUGGCGGUUACACUUCUCAUGCGGUCUCAGUUUGUUUAUAAAUCAAAGUUUACUGUCAUACUUCAAAAGAGUUGUCUUAAAGAAGUUUUUACAGCACAAAACAAGACAAUGUCCUUACAUAAAAGAUAUAACGAAUCAAAUAACUAUGGUUGGAUAUAUAUUCUGAAACAAAAGUAAGCUUACAACUCUUUUGAGAUAUAUGAAUGAGCGUAUUUUUUUUU